AAUUCGAUGAUACGCGAGGAACCUUACCUGGGCCUAAAUGGGAGUGACAGCUGUCGAAAGAUGGUUUUCUUCGGACACUCUUCAAGGUGCUGCAUGGUUGUCGUCAGCUCGUGCCGUGAGGUGUCGGGUUAAGUCCCAUAACGAGCGCAACCCUUACCGUUAGUUACCAUCAGGUUAAGCUGGGGACUCUAGCGGGACUGCCACCGUAAGGUGAGAGGAAGUGGGGAUGACGUCAAAUCAGCACGGCCCUUAUGUCCAGGGCUACACACGUGUUACAAUGGCCAGUACAAAGGGCAGCUACCGGGUGACCGGAUGCUAAUCUCUAAAGCUGGUCUCAGUUCGGAUCGAAGUCUGCAACCCGACUUCGUGAAGCUGGAUUCGCUAGUAAUCGCGCAUCAGCCAUGGCGCGGUGAAUACGUUCCCGGGCCUU
rnacentral:rRNA from 1 species